CUCUUUCUCGAUUCAGUGGAUGGUGGUGCAUGGCCGUUCUUAGUUGGUGGAGUGAUCUGUCUGGUUAAUUCCGAUAACGAACGAGACUCUCCCCUGCUAACUAGUCGGUUGGAUCUUGAUCAGUGGGUUGAGUGCCGAGUAACUCUCGCUGUGCGUGUUGUGCGUCUCGUUCCUCACGGUUCGUUGCGUGCUCAUGUGUGGCGUUGGAUGCCUUGGAUCACACUGCACCCCAAGUCCGCCGCUUUGCUAUAACUCUUCUUAGAGGGAUUCACGGCACUGAAGCCGUAAGAGACUGAGAGCAAUAACAGGUCUGUGAUGCCCUUAGAUGCUCUGGGCCGCACGCGCGCUACAAUGCCGGGCACAGCAGGUGUUUCUCCUGCUCCGACAGGAGCGGGUAACCCUCUGAAAGCCAGUGUUCUUGCAAGUGCUUCCUCCCUCGUGGAGUUGCACAGAGGCGUGCUUGGGCCUGGGACUUGCAAUUCUUUCCCACCAACGAGGAAUGCCUAGUAGCGGCGGGUCACUGAGCCCGCUGUGACUCAGUCCCUGCCCUUUGUACACACCGCCCGUCGCUACUACCGAUUGGGUGUACCAGUGAGAGCCUUGGACUGGCGUCCGUUGUUGCUCGCAAGAGUGACAAGCGGGUCCGAC
rnacentral:rRNA from 1 species